rnacentral:rRNA from 1 species
GGGUAAUACCGGAUAGGAACGGAUACUGGAACGUUCCAUUUCCCAAAGCUUCGGUGCCAAACGAUGGGUCGGCGGCGGAUUAGGUAGUUGGUGGUGUAAUGGACCACCAAGCCGAAGAUCCGUAAGGGCCUUGAGAGAGGUUGCCCUGAGAGGGAAACUGAGAUACUGUUCCCAGCCCCACGGGGUGCAGCAGUCGCGAAAACUUCGCAAUGCACGCAAGUGUGACGAGGGGAUCCCCAGUGCUCAUACAAUGUAUGGGCUUUUGCCAAGUGCAAAAAGCUUGGCGAAUAAGUGGUGGGCAAGACUGGUGCCAGCCGCCGCGGUAACCCCAGCGCCACAAGUGGGAACCACUUUUAUUGGGUCUAAAGCAUCCGUAGCCGGCUCGGCAAAUGCCUUGUGAAAUCGAUGCGCUCAACGUAUCGGCGUGCAAGGUACACUACCGAGCUAGGGACCGGGAGACGUAAGCGGUAUUCCCAGGGGAGCGGUUAAAUGUGAUAAUCCUGGGAGGACCACCGAUGGCGAAGGCAGCUUACGAGGACGGAUCCGGCGGUGAGGGAUGAAAGCUAGGGGAGCGAUCCGGAUUAGAUACCCGAGUAGUCCUGGCCGUAAACGCUGCGAGCCGGAUGUUGCGCAAUCUUCGAGAUAGCGCAGUGUCGUAACGAAGGUGUUAAGCUCGCCACCUGGGGGAGUACGGUCGCAAGACUGAAACUUAAAGGAAUUGGCGGGGGGAGCACAAGGGC